rnacentral:rRNA from 1 species
GUUUCCGGUUGAUCCUGCCAGACCCGACUGCUAUCAGAGUGGGGCUAAGCCAUGCGAGUCAACGUAGCAAUACGUGGCGAACGGCUCAGUAACACGUAGUCAACAUGCCCAAAGGACGUGGAUAACCUCGGGAAACUGAGGAUAAACCACGAUAAACCACGAUUCCUGGAAUGGUUCAUGGUUGAAACCUAUAUGGCCUUUGGAUUGGACUGCGGCCGAUCAGGCUGUUGGUGAGGUAAUGGCCCACCAAACCUGUAACCGGUACGGGCUCUGAGAGGAGUAGCCCGGAGAUGGGCACUGAGACAAGGGCCCAGGCCCUAUGGGGCGCAGCAGGCGCGAAACCUCUGCAAUAGGCGAAAGCUUGACAGGGUUACUCUGAGUGAUUCCCGCUAAGGGAAUCUUUUGCCACCUCU